GUAAUCUGCGAAUCGGGAACCGGAAGUGGAUCCUUGUCCCAUGCAAUUGCACUGACCGUUGCACCAACCGGACAUCUGUAUACACAUGAUAUCGACGAAACACGUACUCAUAAAGUUUUGGAGGAAUUUAAGGUUAUUUGAGCAAAAAAAAAAUUUUGAAAAAAAAUUUCGCAAAAUUUUUUUUUUUUUGGAAAAUUAAUUUCAAACAUUUCCAGGUUCAUGGCCUAGGAUCCGUGACGACGGCCGUCGUUCGAAAUGUCUGCACCUCUGGAUUCCACGUGGAAAACGCUGCCGACGGGGUAUUCCUGGAUGUACCGGCACCGUGGGAGGCAAUCCCAUUCGCCGCAAAAUCAAUUUUCCGGGCUCGUGGAGGUCGUCUAGUGUCUUUUAGGUAGCUAUCAGUGGAAAAAUUGAGCCUGAUUAAGACUAAAUGGGCCUGGGACCCGAAAUAUUGCCGAAAAAUUUCGCUUUUUUUUUUAGCUUUUUCGGUUUUUUUUUCCAGUGAAAAUCGGAUAAAAAUUGGAAAAUUAACACAAAUUUCAAACUUUUAUCAAAUUUUGUUCGUAACAAUAAAUAGAAAAGGGAAACAAAAGUUUUUUUUGGAAUAUCGAAAAUUCAAAAAUUUCGAUUUUUCGAGGUGCUUAAAAAAAUUUUUUUGAAUUUUUUUGUAAAAAACUGAACAUUUUGGUCAUUUUUGUUAAUUUCCAAUUUUCUGCAAGAAAACAGAAAAAAACGAAAAAUUUUGAUUUUGUGAAAAAAACUGGAAAUUUUGGCAAUUUUCAUAAAAUUUUAAUUCAAAAAAAUUGUUUUUUUUUACUUUUUCGUUUAUCUCAGAAAAAACCGAAAAAUUUUACAUUUUCCGGCGACUCCCUGCAAAAAUUGAACCCGAAACCCUCGUUUUCAGCCAAUUUCCCCAAUUUUUGCUCCAAACCCCCGAUUUUUCUUACAGUCCGUGCCUGGAACAAGUCCAACGUGCCUGCCUAGCCAUGGCGGCCGCCGGUUUCGUGAGCAUCGAGACGAUUGAGCUCGUUCCCGAGCAGAAGAAGAUCGUCAGUCAACACCGGCAGACGCUUGAAGAGUUUGAAGAGCUCGGUGAUGCUUAUCCGAAGGAACGGAAGAGAAAUGUCGAUGGAACAAUCGUUGAGCAAAGG
rnacentral:sRNA from 1 species